rnacentral:rRNA from 1 species
GGAAGUAAAAGUCGUAACAAGGUCUCCGUUGGUGAACUGCGGAGGGUCAUUACUGAGUUACCGCUCUAUAACCCUUUGUGAACAUACCUAACCGUUGCUUCGGCGGGCAGGGGAAGCCUCUCGGGGGCCUCCCCUCCCGGCGCCGGCCCCCACCACGGGGACGGGGCGCCCGCCGGAGGAAACCAAAAUCUAUUUACACGACGUCUCUUCUGAGUGGCACAAGCAAAUAAUUAAAACUUUUAACAGCGGAUCUCUUGGUUCUGGCAUCGAUGAAGAACGCAGAGAAAUGCGAUAAGUAAUGUGAAUUGCAGAAUUCAGUGAAUCAUCGAAUCUUUGAACGCACAUUGCGCUCGCCAGCAUUCUGGCGAGCAUGCCUGGUCGAGCGUCAUUUCAACCCUCAAGCACCGCUUGGUUUUGGGGCCCCGCGGCACACGUGGGCCCUUAAAGGUAGGGGCGGACCCUCCCGGAGCCUCCUUUGCGUAGUAACUAACGUCUCGCACUGGGAUCCGGAGGGACUCUUGCCGUAGAACCCCCCAAUUCUUUCAGGUGACCUCGGAUCAGGUAGGAAUACCGCUGAAUUAAGCA